rnacentral:tRNA from 1 species
GCUGCCUGUAGUCUAGUGGCUAAGGUGUAUGACUGAGAGUCCUGAGGUUGGUGGUUCAAGCCCCAGUCCAGCAACA